GCCGGGGUAGCUCAGUUGGCAGAGCGGCGGUAUCGUAAACCGUAGGUCGUGGGUUCGACUCCCACCUCCGGCUCAA
rnacentral:tRNA from 1 species